rnacentral:rRNA from 1 species
ACAUGCGACCAUACCUGCUGGAAAACUCGGGAUCCCGUCCGCUCUCCCCUAGAUAAGCUAGUAAGGGCAGUAUCAUAUUUA